AAAGUGGCUUUCCAGGCAAGCUGCGCAUAUCUUGGGAUCUUCACAGCACAGUGGCUGGGAAGGCAGGCGAACCCGUCUAUCAGCUUCUCCCUGAAUAACUGGGAGCUGAAACAGGAAGCCCCAUGACACAGUUGAUCGAAAAUGACACAGACACAAAAAAAUCAGGACAUGCCCCCAGCAGCACCCCUACCUGCUGCCUGCUGAUCACGGCUGGGAGGCCCGUCCAGGGUUCCCGCCCGGGAAUGGACUCUUAACUACUCAGUGCUCACAGGUGCUGGGCCUGCAGAGCUUGUGGAUGCUCUCUUACAGCUGGUUUGUUAUCUUUUAAUCAAUCAACUAAUUAAUCUAUUACUUUAUUUAUUGGCCCUCCCUCAUGUCUUGAUCCUUUCUUCAUUAAAAGCAAAAGGAAAGAAAA
ensembl:processed_transcript